CGGACAGGAUGACAUCAUAUUCCUUGAUUUUUUAGAUCCACAUUUCGAAUUUUGAGUGUAUAGCACAAUAUAUUCUAUUUUUUUAUAUCUCGAGUUUCAUUUAUUGGUGAGAUGAUUGUCUUCCGUUAAAGAUUAAGGUUUCUUAUGGAUCGUGGUUUGAGGUUAUAAUCAGAUAUUUCCACUGGUUUGUCAAAAUUAGCUUUUCUUAUGGAUCUGUUCAUGAAAAGUAGAACUGAAGAUCAACAAACGCGUUUACCAUCUUUCAAAAGAACAAAGAAGACGAAGGAAGAAAAAAACAAUGGCUAAGUCACAAAGGCAUAGUGGGCACAAUAAUAAUUUGAAACAUUCGGAGAUCGAGAAAGGGUUAACACGAUACAUCGAAGGAAUUAUUAAAGGAAUUGUUCUACAACAGUGAUGAGGAUGACAAAAGAGUUUACGUGGAAAAACAAGCCAAACCACAACAUGUUAAAAGGCAGAAACAGACCGGACCAAAGACAAAAGUUCGAAUUUAGCCGAGGCGAACGGACAUGAUGACAUCAUAUUCCUUGAUUUUUUAGAUCCACAUUUCGAAUCUUGAUGCUUCAGGGUAUAGCACAGUAUUUUCUAUUUUUUGAUAUCUUACAAGACUGAACACAGACUUGUUGUUGUGAGAGAUUUGAUUUCCACUGUAAAAAACUAAGGGUUCUUCAUUAAUAAGAGAGGUUCAUUUAUUGGUUAUCUCAACACUGUAAAAAACUAGUAUC